rnacentral:lncRNA from 1 species
UUUUUUAAUUUAAAAAAUGAACGGAAACCUUGUACUUUUGACGGUGUUAGUGCUGACGUACAAGAAUAUUUUAUUCAAUUUGAAGCAGUUAGUCUGUGGAAUAUCUGGAAUUUAUCUUCAAUUUGUAAUAAAUUUAAGAAAAGAAGCACGAAUUUAUUUUACGUCUUCUUACUCCUGUUCAGUUGCAGAGCUAUGAUUUUUUGAAAAGUUUAUUAUUGCAACGCUUUAAUCCGACGGAAAAGAUAGCUUUUUUAUAAAUUUCAACUGAAAAGUUUUGUCAGAUGAAUCUGUGUUCAAUUUUGGACAUAGUUUCAAAACUUUUUUGUCAUCGUGCAUAUCAAAAUCAAUUUCACAGUAUGCAUUUGUAUUUUAUGGAUCUUUUUAUUGGCAAAUUAGAGAAGGAAAUAGGAAAAGCAUCCUAAAAGUUUUGAUGAUGCUAUAUUUUGGCUACAGAGUUUUAGUCGUUUAAUUUGAUAGUUGAACCUGUUGAAUGUGAAAUUAAGGAAAGUGAAGAAAGUUUAGAUUUAGUUGUUUAAAGUCUGGUUUUGAUCAAAUUGUCAAAGUUCUUAAAAAGCUGGUCUAUAAGAAGUUUAAAGCUAAAAAAAUGUUAUAAUUGUUCGGUAGUUAGACAUAUCAG